rnacentral:lncRNA from 1 species
CCAAGAUAAAGUUGCUUUGAUUUAAUUUCACCUAAUUUAAUUUCACUUCAUUCUGACUGUAGAGCACAGGUAAACCCUUAUGCCAAAGGGAAGAAAUACAUCUGCAGUGCAACACAAGAGCAGAUCCAAUGUUAUAACUCACGUGGACACAGAUUAGUAGCAGUACAGGGAAAAUUUACCUCCUCCCAAACAACAUGAACAGAACAGCAUGCUCAGCACUUUGUAAUUACCAUAAAUGGAAACCCGCUGACAUGGAUCUAUUACUUCUGAGAGACAUGUGACAAAGGAGCAAAUGUAAAAUAAAUCUUUAACAGAAAACAUGAAGUUCAGGUUUUGGAGGGCAGAAAGAGCGAGAGAGGAAAAGGAAAAACACUUUUUUAAAAAAACUCAGCUCAUAUCUCUAGUAAUAGAAACAUCUGUAAGCUGUUGCAUUCUAGUUCUUACAAAGAGAGCAAGUUGGUGGGGCUAUACCAACAUAGGUGAAAAUAAAGUGUGAAAUACUGAAGGUACCAAAUGAUGAUGACUGUAUUAAAAGAAUACUUUAAAAACAAGUAAGAAACAGCUUUGCACAGUGGACAAUGCGAGGGACAACACUACCUGCCAGUACAGAAGGUUCACUGACUUCAGUACAGUCAGCAUUUCAUACCUGCUCACUCUGUGGGAAGAACCGUACUCAGGCAAAAUGAACAGGGCAUAAUGCAACAUAUGGCAUCUCUAAAUUUACAUUUCUUUGUAGCCUCAGGCCUUCUAUCAGUGCGUAUCCAGCAGAACAAGGUGAGAGGGCGAAACAGGCUCAUCUUUACCAGACAUAUCAGUUUAGCAAGACCACACAGAAAAUCCAACAGAACUGAUUAUUUAUUGAUAAUAGGAAUAGAAUUUUUACUUUGUAAAACUUCUAGCAAACAUUUGUUACAGUAAGCCUGAAAAAAAAAGAUUAAAUACAGUAAAACUCCAUACCACUGAGUACUGCAAAGCAGCUAGAUACUCUUUUAUUACUUACCCAUUUGGCUAGAGCUUCUUUGAUGGUUGUUGCUUUUGCCAUCGCCGUUGCUACCGUUGACGCUCCGGUUGCUAUGGCACGGCCGCCUCCCGCGCAUGCGCAGCGCCGCGGACACGUCGGGGCCGGGGGGGCCGAGCACGGAGGCAGCCACACCUGGCGACCAUAGAGCUCCGCCGCCGCGCACAGGCCCGGCCCGGAAGUCGCGUAGGGGGCGCUCCGCGACGCAUUGUGGGACGCGGCGCAGGGGCUGCCGCGCUCCUCCCGCCCGGCUUCGCCGGCAGCGGCUCCGCCGCCGGGCCCGGCCCGAGGGCUGCCUUCUCCCCCGCUUCGGCUCCGGUACCGAUAACAGAAAGGCCACGCCCCGCAUCCGUCACUGUGCGCUUUUUAUUGAAUUAAAUCACUUGGUGAAAGUUACAGCGAUUGACAGGUGACAGCCCGCGCCCAGGCCGCCCCUCACAGAGGCCGGCGCCCCCCGGCUGCUUCCCGCGCUCCUUCAGGCGCGGCCCGGCCUGCGCGCGGCUCCUGAAGCGGGUGCGGAACCCCACGGUUGACUUCAGCUCCUUCCUGCGGCACCUCCACACUCAGCUCAUCAAGUGAAUCCAGACAUCGGAGACACACUACGGGACGUCUGCCGUGGAAGGCGUGCGAAACUAUGUAAGUAAUACUUGAGCCGAGGGCAGAGCCGGGCACCCAGCUUAAUGUACGCUUCGGGCAGUAGCUGCGCCUGUGUUUGCAGUGUCUGUAAGGUAGUUUUGGUCUCCCAGCAGCAAUGUAAAAUACAAAAGACUAGUACAAAAACUGAUCAGUUUCCUACAAGCCAUCUAGUGAAUGGUUAUGUUCAGAAGUAUCCUGACCUGUCCACCAAAGUAUCUCCACAGUGAGAUAAGCCAUUUUAUUUAAACGAGGGAGGAGAAAUAAAAAGACUCCUCAUUGCCAAACAAAUGAACUACUCAAAACACAGGGUCUAAUUCUCAUACUGUCUUGCUUUUAAAUAAGUGAUUUACUCGUCCUUCAAAUUGCAGAUAUCUGAUGAUACCUAACGUUGUAUUAUUUUAAGGGUUUGAUCUUUUGAAACAAAGUUUGGAGGCUUUUAAGCUACCUGCUGUGGUUUGGGUUUACUUUUGUCUAUUUUAUUUCUGAGUCUGCAGCUUGCAGUGCUGCACAGCAACUGAUAUCAGACUGCAAUAUGGAGACAGGUAUCAAUCCUGAGUGGGUCACGAGGGUUAAGGGAGGUCAUUUAUACUGGGAGCUUCAGCUGCUGAAGAUACACGUGGCAAGGACAGACAGAACAAGAAACCUAUACACAACCUUCUUCUCAAUAGCUGCAACUUGGAAGAAAGGGAGGGCAGUAAGGAUGAGCAGCGCCUCAAGGUGCACAUCACAGCAGGCUGUGCUGUGGGACUCCUGGGGUAGCCAGGAUGAGUGGAGGUUCGAGAACCAGAUAAGACUCUGCAAGGGCUCUUCAGCCAGAGAGCUGAGGAAGGCUGGGUGCGAGGACAUCUUCCCUGGAGUUAAGUGGAUGAAGUUUAUAUUGUAAGGAGUGUAUGGAUAAAUAAAUAACUGGCAGUGAUGGUGUGCGGAGAACAAGUGACCUCACUCAAAUGAUAACUAGUAGUAUGCGUUGCAGAAAGCUAAUCGGGCCUGAGCAUAAUGAUAGUCAACUGGAGAGAAAAGAUCCCUGAGAGCAAAGCAAAAUUCACUAUCCCAUACGAAGGUUUUGUUUCUUUUUGGGCAACUCUGAAACAGGUCUAACAAAGCAACCUUGGAAGGAGAAUUGUAUCAGUUGAAGCCCUUAUUAAAUAGGCCUUCAGCAUUGGCAAGACGCUCAUAAUGGACAAGAAUCAUAUGGGGAGAAAUUGUUUCUUUGUACCUAAAUGGUAGGGAACAAUAAGGUACUAGCUAAAAAUUAAUUAGGAUGGAAAACAAUCUCAGGCAGCCUGGGUCAGAGAUCCUAGAUUACCCUUUUCUUUAGUAUUAUUUUGUAUUAUGAUCAUUACUGCAAGAGGACAGCUUUUUACAACCCAUUCUACUUGCUAGCUCUUCUGUCUCUCAUCUUCCUUCCUAAUAACAGCUGUCAGCAUCUGUUGAUAUCAUUAACAAAGAGUUCCACGUGUAAUUAAACUCUAGCUUAACAGCAAGUGUUAAUUAUUUAAAACAAGUAAUGAGAGAAAUAAGAUUUGCAGAUGGUAUAACUGCAUUUAACUGUGCUACGCAACAGAAUUUCGAUACUCCCAAGAGUCAACUGCCAAUCUAAGGCAUUAUAGGAACAGAUGGUUACAUCCCCAGUACAGGACACCACUGGUGCUGCUUUCCUCCAUGGAUGAAAGUACUCUUCACUUUUUCAAUUUAAGCAUAGCUGUUGUUGGAAAGAGGCAAGAUUGUUUCCAACGGAAGACCACUGUUUCAGGCCAAUGUAUAAGAAACUUCUUAUAAAUAAAGAUCUCCAGCUUUGUACAAGUAGGAAACACAUCCAAAGUACGAAAGUGUAUGGCUAUAAAUCAGAAAGUUCUAGGCUAAAAUAACUUAAGACCCAAAGCCAGAAUCAUUCAUCAUUUUGAUAUCAAAGUUCAUGGCCCACAGGUUGCCAUUGUUCUCCCAGGUGAAAAACGAUCUGUCAUUUCUAAGGGUAGGACUGGCAGUGAAGUUCUUUGAUUCAUAAAUACUGCAAGCAAGAAAGCACUUAUCAGAAAGCACUUUCUUCAGACACUUGUUUCAUGAUAGCGUGACCAAUUCAGACUCAAAUUUGUACUACAGUGCAGCCUACUUAUUAUCGCUUUGCUUCUCUUCUGCAUACCUACUUAAAAUAACUUGGCCUAGUGCAAAUCGAUCCCUUUCUGUCUUGAUUUAUAUAUGUAACUGUCAUUUGGCUAUUUCAUAUUUCAGACCUUUUCUCAGUCAGUACCUCCAAUUCUCCAGUCAUUUUGGCGGCUCAAGCUCAGCAGCAACAACUUACAGGUGCUGAAGUGUUCAUCCCAGAUGCAAGUGCAGAAACUCCUGAAUCUUUCCCCAGGAAUGUUCCUGGGCAUGGGCGUGUGCUUUGCUCUCUCCACCCCCCAGAACAGGCACCCCCAGAACACGAUCCAGAGCUACCUGACAAAACGGAGUAGAAGGAGGAUCGAUUCGGUGGCCUGCUCCUGGAUAACUCAACAGUUCAAAGUUUUCUUUCCCAUGCUGGCGUAGACGCCCAAUUGCUAGCUCAGCAUAUAAGGAACUCUUCCACAUACGAUCAGCUUCCCCUACUACUAGGAGAAAGUGACCUUCUGCUUUUUCGAUGGGGAUUGUGCAAGAGGAAUUAGCAGGAUUCGCUGGGUCAUCCAGAGCUUCAAAAGUGUCAAAUACACCAGUGUCAGAAACGCUGACCUUAUUCAUAUCAAAACGCAGCCCAGGCAGAGUUAUCUCACCAUAAUGGAGGUCUGCAACUGUGUUCGAACUACAGCCGGAGAUACAGACAGCAGCCACUACUUCUGGUAGGAAGGUGAUCAUGGAGAGUGCUAAUUCUGCACCUUUCCCAGUCCCAAUCACUCCAACUCCUGGCCCUUUCACCUUCAGGUUAAGAUGGGGGUGUGGGGAAGAGAGGAAGAGAGGAAUAAAUAUAUGUUAUAAUAGGGUUAGCCAUUACAUGUCUUUGAAGUUGUGUUAUUAAAAAAAAAAAGUUAACUACUGAUGUGACCUGUUGGAAAGCUAUAGCCUGGAUCCAGACUUCUCCCAGGCAUCUUAUUCUUCAGAGCCAAUAACAAAUGUCAAACACCAUAAAAUAACACCGGUAUCACAUCUGUGCUAGGCACAACAAGUACAAUCACUUGGAACUCAACCACUGUAUAUUUUCGUGCAAAUAUUUUCCCCCAGACAGGUAGCAGGAACUUCAAAUGCCAUCAAUUGCAAAAUACGUCCCAGGCAUAUAAAGUCAUCUCACAAAUGACAUUUGAGAAUUAGAUGUGUAUUCAGCCCUUUCCUUUUCUAGCCUGGAAAGGAAAACAAAGUAACAUCUCAAGUUACUUAUCAAAUCAAUUCAUCUGUAGCAUUGAGCGGUGCUGUGCCAUCUUCUUGUAAGCUAAUUGCUUUCAUUAAAAUAAACAAAAGCCCACAAACAACACCACAUAUGUACAUCGCCACUGCUCCUGUUUGAAGGCUGUUCCAGCACUUCAUUGUCCUCAUGAUCAGGAAUUGUCAAUUUUCCAGUGUGAAUUUAUUUAAUGGCCUGCUUGUGGUGGAAGAAAUGUGCUCUGCAGCGAUACGCAUAGCUGUCCACGUAGGACCUACGCUUUUUCCAUUAUGGGACCUAAAUCUGCCCAAAGACACUCCCAAGAAAAUCACUGCUACCACAUGGGCGUAACUACCAAAUCUUCCCUAGUUCCUUGUCUGGAGAGAUCUCUCUUUACACUCACCUUUGGGUGGCGCUGUAGAAAUCUAGCUGCCUCCUGAAAGUACUCAAGUUUAAAUUCUUUCAUGACCUUAGGCAGAUCUUCAAAGUCAAAAUAUGGCAGAGAAAGAGCAGCAAAACCACGGGUAGCCAGGAGACUGGAUCUAAAUUCAAUCAAACCUCCUUCAUCACCAUACAUGUCAAUCACUCCUGGAAAGGGGCCAUCCCCUGGAUGGAGAAGAGGUACAGAGCACAAGUUAUCAAACAGGACUCUAAGAAGUAUCUAGUUCAGUUUGAAAAUCAAAAUAUAGAAAGCAUUAGAUGUUUUCUAUAACUACUCAUCAAUUUUCUGUUUGCGCAGCUGAGAUUAGAGAUCGGUGCUGUAUCUGACUUCAGCUAUUUCAGGUGCUGAGCUGAGCAGGUUCUGAGCUUCCUAUGAAAGUACGUGAACAGCUAAACAUGCUUUGUUAAAAAUGUUUUCUCAGUGUAUUUUUCAAUGAUCUUAAACACCAACCCUCAAAACAACCAUGCUCCAAAUCAGCUCUUUUCCCCACAAAGAAGCCAUUUCUUAAUUAGCAAAGUGAAAACACAUUACUAAUGAGGCAAUAGCAUUAAGGCAAAGGAUAUACAAACCCCGAAAUAAGGCACACCAAGAAAAGCACAGCAGAGACACCCACUGCAGGAUGAAAUCAGCUCAACUUACUCCCUCUAUCUCGACAUCAGCACUGUCACAGCCAGCAGCCAAAUUGCUACUGCAAGUAUGAAAAGACAGAGUAAAACUGAGAGGCGCGUGGGUGCAGUGAGGUGUGUGCGACCGAUGCACAGAUAAACAUGCAUAUACGUGCAUGUCCUGUCAAACUACAGAGAUUUUCAGAACCACAACUUCAAGCAACCAUGGUUUUGCAGUGAAGGUUGUGUUGUUAUAUUUCAAUCUGAUACGCUAGCAGAUUUUGUGUUAAAGGCUCUUGCAACCAUAAGGAGCCCAGGUAUUUUUUGUUUGUUUAUUUUGGGGAGGUGUGGUGUCUUGCCACCAGAUGUCACUGCUGAUGUAUUCAGAUCCAGGUCACAGCUCUCAGUAGAAAAGUACGAUUGUGCAAGAGUGCAUUAAGCCUCUGGCAUUAUUUAUAUGUGGCAAAGACAAGACCUCUCAUAUUUCAAGGUGCUUGAAAAAAGAAGUUUUGGACAAGACGAGUUAGAAGGUAGAAACCUCCUAAUGAAAUGCAAAAGUCAGAAAAGUGCUGAAACAUGCUUUUGACUUCUUUCUCAGUUCUAAAACCUCUCAUUAAAGUUCAGUAUUCUAUAGGAGAGAAAAACAGUAGCAUUCUUUUAUUUCUCACCCCUACACAUUCUAGUGAGAGUGUAUGACCAGAACACAGUGAGGAAGGACUGCAUUUCUCUCUUUCAUGAAGAUAACCUUCAGCUUACACAAGGACACCCAACUGCCUUCCUGAAUGCCUGCAGAGCCCAAGUGUAGUUUCUCCACAGUUCAAGAAAAAGCAGGAUAACUUUUUAGACAACUUUAUUACUGCUUAAAAACAUUACAGCCUGUAACUUUAUACCUGAAAUGAGAAAUAUCUUUCCUAUCACAGUUGCAGCAUAAAACCAUUUAUGUAAUCUCACUUUUACUAAGGAUGAUUGAUCCUUUAUUUAAAAGGAUGCCAGCAUCAUUUAAGCAAUCAUCUCAGACUUCUCCAUAAUAUUACAACACCAGACCUUCUAAAGGGAAAAAUACAGUUCCAGCUUGCAGAUCUCUGGAUUUCCACUGAGCUCAGCAGAAAUUUGGCUCAUUCUCUAAGGCAGGAUGUAUCAACCACAUCUCAGUGUGAGAUAUUUCAGAAUGCUGACUAAACAUUUGAUCCAAAAUUCAAAGUCCAAUCUAUGUUGGGUUUUUUUUUUCCUUCUUUAGCAGACUUUGGUCUGUAUCUAAAAGGUUAAUAAAGAUUAUUGGUUUGGAAAUCAUUCACCAAGACUUUAAUCCCUGAUAAUUGUAGCAGCACUUAGAGGAUUUGCAGAACCAACCUACUCCAGAGGCAAUACGGAUGGAAGUUCUCGCAGUACAACAGCCACUGAAAUACGGAAGUUUAAAUCACGGCUGAAGCAUUCCAACACUGCCAGCAGUGUAAGGUUUCAACUUCCAGCAACAGCAGCAGCCCAUCGGUAUGCCACACUUCAUAGAACACAGCCAUCCCACGGGGAGAACAGGCAGAGCUUCUUCAGAUAACUACACAGAACAACAGAACUUGCUAAACUAGCAGCUUAGCUUGAGCUCUGGCGUAACAGAACUGUAAUACUUUACUACAGUCUCCUCUGCGACUCUGCUUAUCAGCACGUGCUUCAUGGGGAGAAAAAAUGCCUUUUAAACUUAAUCCUCAGGCUAAAAUCCUGAACAGAGGCUCACACAGCGAGGCCUAUCAUCUUUUGCGAGCGUAACGGGUUCUGGUAACACCAGAAAAAAGCACAAUCUACAGAAACUCCCCACCUGAGAGCAGUGGCGUGGAAAACUACAAGCCUUUGUCUCGCUUAGCUUCCACCCAUGCCAGAGAGGCACCUGCCCACGCCUGUGCUGCUGACCAGCACGGAGCAGCAUCCCCAGAAGACAAAAGAUGCCCCAGAGAGGCGACCUGUCUGCGGGUGGCCUUCAGUUGUGCUUUGGAACAGGAUGCCCCAGGUGACCCCUGCUCCGGGCAGAGGCCGGCCCCCACUCACCCGGCGGCAGGAAGAGGGAGCCCCUCACGCCGCCCUCCUUCAGCCGGAUCCUCCUCACGCCGGGGGCCGUGAACCACCUCUCCACCUCGGCCUUGGCCAUCACCGGCCCGUGGAUGGCGCCGGGCUGGCUGUGGCCCUGGUGAACCAACAUCUCCACCUUCAUCGGGGUGCCGGUGCUGCGGGGAACGAGCCGCUGGUACGGCCUCUCCAUGCCCGCGGGGGCCAGGCUCCAGAAGAGCCCCAUCGGCUCCACGCCGGUGUAGUUCCCGCCGUGCGAGGCGUCCGUGCCCAGGUGCAGCUCGCCGCGGCCGUCCGCCCGGUAGUGCGCGCACGACUGGAAGAGGCAGCCCCGCUCGUCGGACACCACCGCCCGCAGCGUCACCGGCUGUCCCGGGCCCAGCCCCGCCACCCGCGUGUCCACCCGCUCGUCCGCCAGCCCGGCUGCGGGGGUCACGGCCACGCUGACCGUCCGGCGCGCCGGGGCACGGCACAGCGCCCGCGCGGGGGCCUUGGCGGCGACCGCCGCUCUCCACAUGACGGCGGCGCGGGGCCGAGGGCCGCGGAGCAGACGGAGGCGACGACGACAGCUGCCGCCCCCGCCAGGCAGCCUCAAUCGAGAGCGGAGCCCUCCCGCCCGGCGGGCGUUUCUGCGGCGCCGACACGGGGCCGGCGGGGGGGAUACGCCUCGCUCACCGCCCGCCUCCGCGCCGCGUCCCGGCGGCCCGGCCCCGCUGUGGGACCCCGGGUGCGGUGGGCGGUGGAGCGGCUCGCGGAGCCCUUCCCUCCCGCCGCGUCCCGUCCAGCGUGCACAAAUCAACCUCUGCUCGAGUUAACGUUUCACUUUAAUGAAUUAGAAAAGCGCGGAGAGUGCAAGGUGCAUUAAUAACCUGUGGGAUUUACGCGCAAGUCGAACGCUGCAUAUAGCCAGCUAGCUGCGUGCGCUCAGCCUGCACCCUUUGUAAGGCACCGAAGGGGUUUUCAGCUGACCGUGAAGAGUCGCCAGCACUUCCCUAGCAACAUUCAGUGCUUUCUCUUUCAAGUGCGUGCUCAGGAGACAGAAACUGCUCAGCAUCUCCAGAACAGAACCCUGCUGCUGCCCACUCCUCUGAGAAAGCCAGAAGGGAAGCCUGUUUUUUCAGUUCUGUUGUGUAUGCCCAGAAUGCAGUUUCAGGCUAUGGGCUGUUGUCAUCACUCCGUGGGAGACUUGCUAAAUGCUAGAUCUCAAAAUGGACAAUUAAGGCAGACAUACAAUUCAGUGACAUGAGAUAAGAUUACUGGAUGUAGGUAGAGAGAACAGCUACUUCCAAACAACAACAAACAAAAGUGCACUGUCUCCAGUAAGGACAGUGGCAUCCAACAUGCUUCCUCUGAGGAAGACGUACGAGUUAAAUAUAUUUUCAUCCCACCUCUCAGCUGAUUUACCUUCCACUUAAACUCGCUUU